UUUUUCUACAAUAGAUUGUGAGACAAUAGAAACUAAAAUUAUUUUAAGAUCUAAGAGGAAUGUAUGUCUUUCAUCCCCAUCUAUAUUGGGCGUAAAAAUUCCUACAGCUUGCGAUCUUCACUGCAAAUCUUUCUAUGGGCCAAAGAAAGUUGGAUACUGCAAAAACUCUGUUUGUCGAUGUAAAUAAAUUACAUAAUGAUUUU